GACUUGUCAUUAACUUGUUUUAAUUUUAAAAUGUAAAACAUCACAUUAUCACACUGCCUUAGUAAAUUAAAAUUAUCCUUUUGAAUGCAAACUUCAGCAUGUAAGAAUCUCAACUUGAAAACUUCACUUUAUUUUGCCAUUUAUCUUAGAAGUUAACAGGACAUAGAUACUUAAAACCAGAUAUGAAAAUAUUCACUUGAUCUAUGUACCUCUAAACUCCUGUACCUUUGUUUCCAUGUUCUCAGGAAAAAAAGCCGAAUGAUUGAGUGUGAACAGAGUACCCUCAGGGGAUUCCCUAUCUCUUAUAUGUUUCAUUAUCAAAGGAAGUAAAAUUUAAAAUGUUCUGACCUAUAUACACUGACUACAAUCUGGUACAAUGUACUGUAGCCCAUGAGGUAGGCUCCAUACCUCUGAGACUGUAUCAUGUGCUUUACAGAAUUUCUGGAACAAAAUUUCCAGGACUCAAAUCCAUACU
rnacentral:lncRNA from 1 species